rnacentral:rRNA from 1 species
UACGUAGGGAGCGAGCGUUGUCCGAAGUUACUGGGCGUAAAGCGCGCGUAGGCGGGCUGUUAAGUGAGAGGUGAAAGGCUGGGGCUUAACCCCAUGCAGUGCCUCUCAUACUGGCGGUCUUGAGUUCGGUAGGGGAGACUGGAAUUCCUGGUGUAGCGGUGAAAUGCGCAGAUAUCAGGAGGAACACCGGUGGCGAAGGCGGGUCUCUGGGCCGAUACUGACGCUGAGGAGCGAAAGCGUGGGGAGCAAACAGG